CACGUAGGGCGCAAGCGUUGUCCGGAAUUAUUGGGCGUAAAGAGCUCGUAGGCGGUCUGUUGCGUCCGCUGUGAAAACUCGGGGCUUAACCCCGAGCCUGCAGUGGAUACGGGCAGACUAGAGGUAGGUAGGGGAGAAUGGAAUUCCCGGUGUAGCGGUGAAAUUCGUAGAUAUCGGGAGGAACACCAGUGGCGAAGGCGGCGACCUGGGCCAAUAUUGACGCUGAGGUGCGAAAGCGUGGGGAGCAAACAGG
rnacentral:rRNA from 1 species